rnacentral:rRNA from 1 species
UGAGGAAUAUUGGUCAAUGGGCGAGAGCCUGAACCGGCCAAAUCGCGUGAAGGAAGACUGCCUUAUGGGUUGUAAACUUCUUUUAUACAGGAAUAAAAAAUGGGGACGUGUCCCUUAUUGCAUGUACUGUAUGAAUAAGCAUCGGCUAACUCCGUGCCAGCAGCCGCGGUAAUACGGAGGAUGCGAGCGUUAUCCGGAUUUAUUGGGUUUAAAGGGUGCNCAGGCGGGCUUUUAAGUCAGCGGUGAAAUCUCGGGGCUUAACUCCGAAACUGCCGUUGAAACUGGGAGUCUUGAGUAUGGAUGAAGUAGGCGGAAUUCGUUGUGUAGCGGUGACAUGCUUAGAUAUAACGAGGAACUCCGAUUGCGUAGGCAGCUUACUAAGCCAUAACUGACGCUCAAGCACGAAAGCGUGGGGAUCAAAACAGGAUUAGAUACCCUGGUAGUCCACGCCGUAAACGAUGAUUACUAGUUGUAUGCGAUAUACCGUAUGUGACUAAGCGAAAGGCGAUAAGUAAUCCACCUGGGGAGUACGCCGGCAACGGUGAAA